rnacentral:rRNA from 1 species
GAUCAAGCUACUAAGGGCUUGGGGUGAAUGCCUUGGUGCCAGGAGGCGAUGAAGGACGUGGCAAGCUGCGAUAAGCCUCGGGGAGCCGCAAGCAGGCGUUGAUCCGGGGAUCUCCGAAUGGGGCAACCCGACCGGGGUAAUACCCGGUCAUCACCGGAUAAAUGCAUAGUCCGGUGAAGCGACACCCGCUGAAGUGAAACAUCUCAGUAAGCGGAGGAAAAGAAACCGAACGGGAUUCCCUGAGUAGUGGCGAGCGAAAGGGGAACAGGCCAAACCGGGGAGACUUGUCUCCCCGGGGUAGCGGGACCUCCAUCAGGGGAUGCGCCAAAGGUUAGCCGAACGCUCUGGAAAGGGCGGCCAUAGACCGUGACAGCCGGGUAGGCGAAAACCCGAGGCCCCCCGGAGGGAUCCCAAGUAGCACGAUGCACGUGAAACUUCGUGCGAAUCUGUCCGGACCACCGGAUAAGCCUAAAUACUCCCUGGCAACCGAUAGUGCACCAGUACCGUGAGGGAAAGGUGAAAAGAACCCCGAUGAGGGGAGUGAAACAGAGCCUGCAACCCCAUGCCUACAAGGUGUCGGAGCCGCCGCAAGGCGGUGACGGCGUGCCUUUUGCAUAAUGAGUCCGCGAGUUAUUGUCCGCGGCAAGCCUAAGGUCCUCAGGGCCGGAGGCGAAGCGAAAGCGAGUGCAAACAGCGCGUUCAGUCGCGGGCAAUAGACCCGAAGCGGAGGUGAUCUACCCUUGGGCAGGCUGAAGCCUGGGUAACACCAGGUGGAGGGCCGAACUCGUGGAUGUUGAAAAAUCCUGAGAUGACCUGAGGGUAGGAGCGAAAGACUAAUCAAACCCCGUGAUAGCUGGUUCUCCCCGAAAUCGCUUGAGGGCGAGCGUCGGGCCAGUACUCGGAGGAGGUAGAGCACUGAAUGGCUUAGGGGGCCCACCAGCCUACCAAAACCAAUCAAACUCCGAAUGCCUCCGAUCCCAUUACCCCGGCAGUCAGGCUACGAGCGAUAAGGUCCGUGGCCAAAAGGGCAACAGCCCAGACCACCGGCUAAGGCGCCUCAAGGCGGUUUAGUGGAAAGGAUGUGACGUCGCUUAGACAGUGAGGAUGUUGGCUUAGAGGCAGCCAUCAUUUAAACAGUGCGUAACAGCUGACUCAUCGAGCGAUGUCGCGCCGAAAAUGAUUGGCGAUCAAACCGCCUGCCGAAGCCGUGGCUCCUUUGUCGGCACGCCGGCAAGGGAGGGUAGGGGAGCGUGACCGGUGCUGCGAAGCGGGAGGGAAACCGACCGUGGAGCGCCGGCCAGUGAGAAUGCGGACACGAGUAGCGAUAAACCGGGUGAGAAUCCCGGUCGCCGUAAACCCAAGGUUUCCUGGGCCAGGUUCGUCCGCCCAGGGUUAGCCGGGAGCUAACACGAGGCCGUAAGGCGUAGUGGAUGCACAGCAGGUUAAAUAUUCCUGCGCCGGGCAAGGAGUUGGUUCGGAGGGGACGCAUGGAAAGACGUCGGCUAAGCAAUCGAAUGCUGAGCCUAGGCUUCGGCCGAAGCGCACCGGCGUUGACCGUGCCGAGAAAAGCCUCCGAACGUAUCGCCUUGUCCGCCCGUACCGGAAACCGACACAGGUGGGUGAGUGUCAAUGCACUCAGGCGCGCGAGAGAAACCUCUCUAAGGAACUCGGCAAAUUGGCCCCGUAACUUCGGGAGAAGGGGUGCCCCCCGGGCCCGUCGCAAGGCGGGAACGGUGUGGGCCGCAGUGAACGGCGCUUAGCGACUGUUUAACAAAAACACAGCUCUCUGCUAAGUCGUGAAGACGACGUAUAGGGAGUGACACGUGACCAAUGCGGAAAGAUGAAAGCGCUCGGUUAGCCGCAAGGCGAAGCCGCGCGCCUAAGUCCCCGCGAAUGUCGGCCGUAACUAUAACGGUCCUAAGGUAGCGAAAUUCCUUGUCGGGUAAGUUCCGACCUGCACGAAUCGUGUAACGACUGAGCGACUGUCUCGGAGAGGUUCUCGGCGAAACUGUAAUGGCGGUGAAGAUGCCGC